GAUGUGAUAGUGCAGUGGUUAAGUGUGUUGGACUUGGGAUCAAAAGGUCCCGAGUUCAAGUCCUUACCAUAGCU